rnacentral:rRNA from 1 species
CCUACGGGUGGCUGCAGUGGGGAAUAUUGGGCAAUGGAGGCAACUCUGACCCAGCAACGCCGCGUGAAUGAUGACGGUCUUCGGAUUGUAAAGUUCUUUUCUAGGGGAAGAAGAAAGUGACGGUACCUUAGGAAUAAGCCUAGGCUAACUACGUGCCAGCAGCCGCGGCAAUACGGAGGAGGCAAGCUUUAUCCGGAAUGACUGGGCGGAAAGGGUGCGUGGGUGGUUUGAUAAGUUAGUAGCGCAACGCCGGGGCUCAACUUCGGAACUACUACUAAAACGGUUGGACUUGAGUGCAGGAGAGGCAAGCGGAAUUCCUGGUGUAGCGGUGGAAUGCGUAGAUAUUAGGAGGAACACCAGUGGCGAAGGCGGAUUGCUAGACUGUAACUGACACUGAGGCACGAAAGCGUGGGGAGCAAACAGGAUUAGAUACCCCAGUAGUC